CCUACGGGGGUCAGCAGUGGGGGAUAUUGCACAAUGGGGGGAACCCUGAUGCAGCGACGCCGCGUGGGUGAAGGAGUAUUUCGGUAUGUAAAGCCCUAUUGGCAGGGAAGAAUUUAGACGGUACCUGACUAAGAAGCCUCUGCUAACUACGUGCCAGCAGCCGCGGUAAUACGUAGGAGGCAAGCGUUAUCCGGAUUCACUGGGUGUAAAGGGAGCGUAGGCGGCUAGACAAGCCUUCUGUGAAAGAUCGAGGCCCAACCACAAGAUUGCUGUUGAAACUGUACGGCUGGAGUGCGGGAGGGGUAGGCGGAAUUCCUGGUGUAGCGGUGAAAUGCGUAGAUAUCAGGAAGAACACCGGCGGCGAAGGCGGCCUACUGGACCGUGACUGACGCUGAGGCACGAAAGCGUGGGGAGCGAACAGGAUUAGAUACCCAUGUAGUC
rnacentral:rRNA from 1 species